GACGAACGCUGGCGGCGUGCUUAACACAUGCAAGUCGAACGGAAAGGCCUGCUUUCCCUUGUGGAUUGCGGGUACUCGAGUGGCGAACGGGUGAGUAACACGUGAGUGAUCUGCCCCCAACUUGGGUAUAAGCCUGGGAAACUGGGUCUCAUUCCCGAUUGGACUGCAGGGUGGUGCCUGUGGUGGAAAAAGUUUUUCUAGUGGUGGGGGAUGGGCUCUCUGGCUAUCAGCUUGUUGGUAGGGUAAUGGCCUACCAAGGCGGCGACGGGUAGCCGGCCUGGGAGGGUGGACUGGGGAAUUGGGAAUGGGAUACGGUCCAGACUGAGACGGGAGGAAGGAGUGGGGAAUAAUGGACGAUAGGCGGAAGGCUGAUGGAGGGACGCGGGGUGGGGGAUGUCGGCCUGCGGGUGGUAGACUGCUGUGGAGCGCGAGGAAGCGAGCUGGUUGGAAGGGUGGUGACGGUAGUGGUAGAAGAAGCAACGGCUAACUACGUG
rnacentral:rRNA from 1 species